AGGGUAUGUGGAGAUAGAGAGCAAGAGAGACCAGCUGGAAGGGUGUUGCAACACUUCAGGGGAGGAGCUGAAGCUCACAGUAGUGUAGCAGCUGGCCAGUGCUCUCAAAGUCAGCAGGUUGAUCAAGCUCAAGUCCCUGUGCUCCGAAGCCACUCUCUCCACUGGGGGCAGAGAUGUCCACCGUGUGCAAUAGACACUGAAUCCUGGUAUGCCCCAGUAAGAGAGAGCCCAGGGCUUCCAUAGGGGAUGACAGGGGAGCUGCAAGUCUGAAGACAGACCAUGGAAGUGAUGUUAGACAAGGGCAAAUUCAAGCGAUUUUCUUAUUCAAGUUCAAAAUGGGUCAUAAAGCAGUGCAGACAACUUGCAACAUCAAUAGCACGUUUGGCCCAGAAACUGCUAACGGACAUACAGUACAGUAGUGGUUCAAGAAGUUUUGCGAAGGAGACAAGAGCCUUGAAGAUGAGGAGUGUAGUGGCUGGCCGUCAGAAGUUGACAAUGACCAAUUGAGAGGAAUCAUCCAAGCUGAUUAUUUUUCAACUACACAAGAAGUUGCUGAAGAACUCAACGUUGACCAUUCUAUGUUGUUCAGCAUUUGAAGCAAAUUAGAAUGGUGAAAAAGCUCGAUAAGUGCAUCCCUCAUGAGCUGAGCAUAAAAAAGAAUAGUUGUUUUCGAAGCGUUGUCUUCUCUUAUUCUACGCAACAACAACAAACCAUUUCUUGAUCGGAUUGAGGCGUGCGAAGAAAAGUGGAUUUUAUAUGACAACUGGUGACAAUCAGCUCAGUGGUUGGACCUAGAAGAAGCUCCAAAGCACUUCCCAAAGCCAAACUUGCACCAAAAUAAUGUCAUGGUCACUGUUUGGUGGUCUGCUGCCAGUCUGAUACACUACAGCUUUCUGAAUCUCAGCGAAACCAUUACAUCUGAGAAGUAUGCUCAGCAAAUUCAUGAGAUGCACCAAAAACUGCAAUGCCUGAAGCCAGCAUUCAUCAACAAAAAGGACCCAAUUCUUCUCCAUGACAAUGCCCAGCUGCUUGUCACACAACCAACACUUCAAAAGUUGAAUGAAUUGGGCUACAGAGUUUUGCCUCAUCUGCCAUAUUCACCUGACCUCUUGGCAACCGACUACCACUUCUUCAAGCAUCUUGACAACAUUUUGCAGGGAAAAUGCUUCCACAACCAGCAGGAUGAAGAAAAUGCUUUCCAAGAGUUUGUUGAACCCUGAAUCAUGGAUUUUAAUGUUAUAGGAAAAAGUAAACUUAUUUCUCAUUAGCAAAAAUGUGUUGAUUGUCAAUGGUUCCUAUUUUGAUUAAUAAAGAUGUGUUUGAGCCUAGUUAUAAUAACUUGAAAUUCACAAUCCAAAACCGCAAUUACAUUUGAUUCUCUACCCCAUGCCCUUCUUCAUCUUAUUAUAGUGCUCA